UAACCUUUAAAUAGGGGGGUCUGCUUUUUAGCAGGCUGCUCCUUCUUAGAGGGACUAUCGAUUUCAAGUCGAUGGAAGUUUGAGGCAAUAACAGGUCUGUGAUGCCCUUAGACGUUCUGGGCCGCACGCGCGCUACACUGACGGAGCCAGCGAGUUUUAUUGUUCCUUUGCCGAGAGGUAUGGGUAAUCUUGUGAAACUCCGUCGUGCUGGGGAUCGAAUGUUGCAAUUUUCAUUCGUCAACGAGGAAUUCCUAGUAAGCGCAAGUCAUCAGCUUGCGUUGAUUACGUCCCUGCCCUUUGUACACACCGCCCGUCGCU
rnacentral:rRNA from 1 species